rnacentral:lncRNA from 1 species
UCCCAAGUAGCUGGGACUACAGGUGGCAUACCUGGCUAAUUAUUGUCUUUUUAGUAGAGAUGGAGUUUCGCCAUGUCGCCCGGGCUGUCCUCAAAUUCCUGGCCUCAAGUGAUCCGCCCACCUCAGCCUCCCAAAGUGCUGGGAUUACAGGGGUGAACCACUGUGCCCAGCCUGGCACCGUAUUUCUCAGCCUUUUGCUUAUGUGUAUUUCAGUCUCCACCUUUAGACUGUGAGACCCUAAAGGCAGAAAAAGGGUCAUGUACAUGUCAUGCCCCGUGGUGGCUGGUGCCCAGUCCAUACAUGCAGAUUUUAAAUAAUUCAGUGGAGUUGUCUGAGGGGGUAACUGAGGGCCAGACGAGAAAAGAAUUGCCCCAGGUCAUGAGGCAAGGUCCACAGCGCAUCUAAUCCCAGCAGGGAUGGCAAGUGCAGUUUUCAUUUCAGAGAAGCAGCCCAUACGUGUUUAGUGUAAGUGGCAAGCAGACUUGUAGGGCAGUCCCAUGACUCUUGUUUCUGGCCGUUACUAGUGCGAUUGUUAUGUCAUGUGACAAAAGAGAGAUGACCCGGAGGAGCCUACUAUGAUCUCAGGAAUCCUUCAAGAGCAGUUUUCUUUGGCCGGGGUGGAGGGGAAGUCAGAGAUGAGAAACGUGCUUUUGGAGAUAGCUUGGAGACACCUGGCCAGGAAUGUGGAUGGCCUCUGAAGCUGAGAACAGCCUCAGCUGAGAGGCAGCAAGCAAAGAGGGACCUCAGCCCUCCAACCACAAGAAAAUGAAUCCAGCCAGCAACCUGAAUGAGCUGGGAGCCGACACAUCCCAGAGCCUCCAGAAAGGAGCGCAGCCCCUGGACAUCUCUACUGCAGCCUGUGAGACUCUCCGCGGAGGACGCGGCUGAGCCAUGCUGACGUGCAGAACUUCCAGCUAUGGAAUUUGUGUUUAGGCUGUUCGGUUUGUGGUCAUUUGUUACAGAGCAAUAGAAAAAUAAUACAGUGAGUAUGUCUCAAAUAUCGCACAGGACAUGGACUGAAAAAGCAUCAGUCAAAUUUAACUGGGUCUUCUGUCAUUUUGUCUGCUAAAUCUGGCAACUUAAAUCCCAGGUAAGGCACGGACAGAGUCGGUGGGGCAUAGACUCACUCAAGAUGUCCCCAACUGGCACAGCGUUCCCCACACUGGAAGUGGUUUGCACACUCCCUCCAACCAGACAAAAAAGAGAGGGUUUCCAACGAACCCACCCAAUAGCUGCACACAAAUUGUAGCAACUUUCCUCACCUGGAGCCCAUAGAUAGAGUUCAGGGGUCUGUGACCUCAGAUGGGAAAAUCCGUACACCUUCAUUUUCACUACUGUCUAACUUAAAUAUUUCCUUCAAUUAAGAAUAUAGGCAUCAUGCCCCGUGGUGGCUGGUGCCCAGUCCAUACAUGCAGAUUUUAAAUAAUUCAGUGGAGUUGUCUGAGGGGGUAACUGAGGGCCAGACGAGAAAAGAAUUGCCCCAGGUCAUGAGGCAAGGUCCACAGCGCAUCUAAUCCCAGCAGGGAUGGCAAGUGCAGUUUUCAUUUCAGAGAAGCAGCCCAUACGUGUUUAGUGUAAGUGGCAAGCAGACUUGUAGGGCAGUCCCAUGACUCUUGUUUCUGGCCGUUACUAGUGCGAUUGUUAUGUC